UGCCUAAUACAUGCAAGUAGAACGCUGAAGMGWGGWGCUUGCWCYKMKYGGAUGAGUUGCGAACGGGUGAGUAACGCGUAGGUAACCUGCCUGGUAGCGGGGGAUAACUAUUGGAAACGAUAGCUAAUACCGCAUAAAAUKGAUUAUCGCAUGAUAAUCMAUUGAAAGGUGCAAAUGCAUCACUACCAGAUGGACCUGCGUUGUAUUAGCUAGUUGGUGGGGUAACGGCUCACCAAGGCGACGAUACAUAGCCGACCUGAGAGGGUGAUCGGCCACACUGGGACUGAGACACGGCCCAGACUCCUACGGGAGGCAGCAGUAGGGAAUCUUCGGCAAUGGACGGAAGUCUGACCGAGCAACGCCGCGUGAGUGAAGAAGGUUUUCGGAUCGUAAAGCUCUGUUGUAAGAGAAGAACGAGUGUGAGAGUGGAAAGUUCACACUGUGACGGUAUCUUACCAGAAAGGGACGGCUAACUACGUGCCAGCAGCCGCGGUAAUACGUAGGUCCCGAGCGUUGUCCGGAUUUAUUGGGCGUAAAGCGAGCGCAGGCGGUUAGAUAAGUCUGAAGUUAAAGGCUGUGGCUUAACCAUAGUACGCUUUGGAAACUGUUUAACUUGAGUGCAAGAGGGGAGAGUGGAAUUCCAUGUGUAGCGGUGAAAUGCGUAGAUAUAUGGAGGAACACCGGUGGCG
rnacentral:rRNA from 1 species